rnacentral:lncRNA from 1 species
CCAGCUCCAAGUCCAUCGAUCUAAGGCUCCCCUACAAAGAUGGGAAAAAGGGGGGUGAGUUUGGAAAACUCAGUGUGUAAAGUAUCCCAACCAGAGCCCAAAUCAGUUCAAGCUUUACUAGGCCUAAGCCCUAUUCAGAAUUUAGUGUUAACUGGGCCUUAGCCCAUAUCAGUAUUAAUCUGGGCCAUAGCCCUAUUACAAUAUCAGAGCAUACUGGGCCUAGCCCAUAUCAGUAUCAGUCUGGGCCGUAGCUCUAUUACAAGUCGAGAUAUAUUGGGUCUUGCCCAUAUUAACACAGUUGGGCCCAUUUUAAUACAGUUGGCCCAUAAUAAAACAGUCUCAUAUGAUUAAUGCAUGAUAACCCCAUCCAACCCUGCACUUGCCUCCGUCCAUCCCUACACUUCCUUUGGGGAAUAAAUCACCCACGCCAUCCCUACACUUACAGUGUUAGCACCGAUUGCGGUACUAACUAUAAUCCGCGGUAAAGCUGUUUAUAUCAGAAUAUGUGGCACAGCCACCAGAACGGGUUCUUCCUCCAUAACAAAACCCAACCCCUUGCAACAGAUAUACAUGUUAUGGCAUAUAACAAACAGAAUCAGCAUAUUAUGCAUUUCAGUCAAAAUUAACCCUAGGGGUAUAACGGUCAUUUUGCACCUAGGGGUAAAAUAGUAAUUUUCAUACUUAAGGGUAUUUUAGUAAAAUUGACUAUUGUAGGGUUUACAUGCUUAUUACAGUUCUUAACGUAGUAACAGAAACACUUACCAAGGGUUCUUACCAAAUUGGGCCCGUUGGCCCAUUAUUCUAAUUUUGGCCCGUUAAGCCCAAAAAUAUCAAGGGCACAGAAAUCAUGCACUUUGCAGACUAAACAUAGCAGCUUACCAAAAACAUUAAUCGAUUUACCUCACGACCAUUCGCACACUCGUAAAUCUACAAAAUACUGGUUUUCGGCAUUUCGGCUUUCGGCUUUUGCCGAUCUAGACUAUGAAAGGGUGUCAGUUACACACCUGUUUUAUGACGAUUCGCUGACGAGAUCCACACACGAAUUGCCUACAAUUAUAUUACUACCACUUUAAUCUAACUACCGAAACGAACUACAUAUUCACUCCUUACCAUAUUCGGCCAAUAACACCUUAGGCCUUAGCGUUCCUACCUUUGUCGAAAGUAGCGUCUCGAUCCAGAUCCGUUCGCUCCACUUGUCCAAGCCCUUGAUCAACAGCCUCUUAAUCACACUAUUACCAAAUUAAUACUGUUACCACAACCCCUUAGGGCUACAAGUCCAUAAACGACAGCCUCCCUAACUUUUAAGGAUUCCAGCUUUUCUUAAAAUACGAAAGAUAGACUAAGUUGGAAAGACUUACCAUCGAUUCUUUCAGUCAACGUCCCCCCUUAGUUCCUACUUGAUUCUGAUGCAGCUUUAAGCCCUCAAACGAUAACAAAAGUCGAGCCUUCAGUGAUCUCAAUAUUUAGCUAUGUCCUUAGGAUAGUGUGGGAUUUCCGGCUUUUUACAGAAGUGUAGAGAAAGCUAAAAUAUGAGGGUUAAUUUUCAUAAAAAUUAAAAUAUUAGUAAUAACAUAAAUAUUUUAUCAAUAUAUAUUUUUUCAAACACUAGUAAUAUUUAAAACUUCUCAAUAUUCAGGUUUUCGUCUAUUCAAAUCCCAGACUCAAAGCCAACUCUUCUAGGCCCAAUUUUUGGGACGUUACAACUCUAUCCCCCUAAAAAAAAAAUUUCGUCCUCGAAAUUUCCAACUAUCAACUAACUGUAUUACUCAAGUCAAACCACUAUGCUUCUGUUGCGCACUCUAGCUCUAAUUGUAAAUUAAGUAAUUAAUACACCAUGAGAGAAGUACGUACCAGCAUCUGCUUCCGGAGCAUCUCCAUUCUCACAGCGACAUGCUGCAUAGACCAAAGCUGGUUGUCUCGCCUCAGCAUGUCCCUUACCCCUAUCUGGUGCUCCAUGACCACGACCCAUUCCAUUGCUACGGCCUCUUACUGGCUUCUGACCACCCCUCGGCGGCUGUAUAUUACCCGUACCAGUAGUUUGUCCAUAAUCUGGUCUCCGAGGACACUCUUUGAAACGAUGCUCCAUCGAUCCGCAUCUUAAACAGGCUCCAAUCCUUUUCCAGCAUUCGCCAUAAUGGCUUUUCCCGCAAUCAACACAAGGUUGUAAUCUAACAGCAGCAACAGGGGCUUCAGCUCGGACCGGCCCAUCUGCCCUGGUACCUUUCCUGUGCCUUUGAUCAGAAUUGGAGGGCUUUAAAUCCAUUUUGUUUCUACCCCAUUUCUUUUCCCAGCUCUGUCGCUCAGCGCGCUUCACAUCCUCAGCUAUUUUAGCUUUCUCUACUAAUGCCGCAAAAUCUCGCUCCCUCUGCGGAGCUAUUAAUACCCGUAGACUAUCCCGGAGGCCAUCCUCGAACCGAACACAACGUUCGCACUCUAUUGCUACUAUUCUACGGGCAUAUCGGCUAAGUCGCAAAAACUCUGCCUCAUACUCAGCCACAGACCGAUCCCCUUGAGUUAAGUUUAAGAAUUCCUUCCUCUGGGCAUCUACAUAGCUUGCCCCAACAUACUUCCCUUGAAAUGCGGAUUUAAAGAAUUCCCAGGUAAUUCGCUCGAGUUGGGUACCCUCUUUCACAGUCAACCACCACUGGUAAACUUCCCCCCUAAGUAGUGAUAUCGCCCCUUUCAGCUUUUGUUCAGUCGUGCAAUCCAGGUCAUCAAUUAUUCUCUCCGUGGCUUCCAACCAGUACUCAGCCACAUUCGGGGCUACUCCAGAAAUACCCUUAAAAACUUCUGCUCCAUUUGAUUGGAAACGUUCCGAAACUGACCCACAGCUUCCGGUACCAGUGUUGGGUCUAGCGACCCUCUCCAGAAUACGAAGCAUGGCUUGGGACAGUGCGUCAUCCCUAGCCGUACGAUCAUACGGUCUUGUCCCACUAUCUGUCGUAGGCGAUGCCGGUGUCUCACUAGCGUCCACCACAGGUAUAGUAUCAAAGGCAAGGGACUUAGCUCGAGCCCCUCUACGGCCUCUACCACGGCCCCUAGUACCCCGUCCACGAGUACCACGUGUGCUCAUUGUAUCUAUCGAAUUGUCUGUAUUAAGAGUUUUAUGCACAGAUAGAGUUUCAGAGUUCGCUUUCACAAAUCUCAACCUAGCUACAGUCUCAAUCUUAUAGUCUCAAUAUAGCUUUAACUACAAUGUCAUAGCAGAGUCUUAGUACUAUAACAGAUACUUACUAAAGUUUAGAAAAGGUACUUACAGACUUGGUGCCGGGGAUUCAAUGUGCCACUUCUUCAGAAAUCAGCAAUUCAAAUUUAUUCUUUGUGCAUUUUGAAAACAAAAUUUAACAGAAUUUUCUAACAUUUUCACAAAAUCGAUUUUAGUGUUUUUCCAUAGAACUAGAGUUUAAAAUUUUAUAAAAACUUUUAGACCCAAUCCACAGCCGAGUUGUUGCAACCGGGCUCUGAUACCACUAAAUGUAACACCUCAAACCCGACCUAGACGUUACGAUCGAAUUCGGCGUGUCACGUUGAAGUGUUUUUCGAAAACCAUGUUUUCAUUAAAAACCCUUCUUGAUGUAAAACUCAUUGGAGCGUUAUUGUAAAACUCAUGUUUUAAUUAAAAAUCUUUGAAAAUAAUAUUUUCGUUAUAGAUUAAAGUGAAUGGAAGCUGUGUACCAGGUAGGAAGCUAGAAAAGAGGAGGUGAGUCUAUUGGACUGCUUAAGUACCAAGCUCUUCAUGGAUCCAAUCCUAGACAUGCACAUAUCCAUUGCCACACUUAAAGCAUAUUACUUGUCCACGAACAACAAAUUAAGUUUAAGUCCAUUUAAAAUAUUUAUUUCCUUUGAAAACAUUUACGUUGCGGAAGCUUUGCUCGGAAAUCGUGAUAAUUUGAAAAUAAGUAACUUUUAUAAAACGCGCCCUAGAGCUAACCAAUUUAAUAACCCAAAAUAUUAAAAAUAAUAAAAAGAUCGGCCUUAUUACAACUUAAACCAGAAUAAAAAUAAUCAAAAUAAUAAAUGCGAAACUUAUUUUAAAGAAAACAGAAACUUAAUCUUCGUGGCCACUCUGAAUCCCGCCCAGCUCCAAGUCCAUCGAUCUAAGGCUCCCCUGCAAAGAUGGGAAAAAGGGGGGGUGAGUUUGGAAAACUCAGUGUGUAAAGUAUCCCAACCAGAGCCCAAAUCAGUUCAAGCUUUACUAGGCCUAAGCCCUAUUCAGAAUUUAGUGUUAACUGGGCCUUAGCCCAUAUCAGUAUUAAUCUGGGCCAUAGCCCUAUUACAUUAUCAGAGCAUACUGGGCCUAGCCCAUAUCAGUAUCAGUCUGGGCCGUAGCCCUAUUACAAGUCGAGAUAUAUUGGGUCUUGCCCAUAUUAACACAGUUGGGCCCAUUUUAAUACAGUUGGCCCUUAAUAAAACAGUCUCAUAUGAUUAAUGCAUGAUAACCCCAUCCAACCCUGCACUUGCCUCCGUCCAUCCCUACACUUCCUGUGGGGAAUAAAUCACCCACGCCAUCCCUACACUUACAGUGUUAGCACCGAUUGCGGUACUAACUAUAAUCCGCAGCAAAGCUGAUUAUAUUAGAAUAUGUGGCACAGCCACCAGAACGGGUUCUUCCUCCAUAACAAAACCCAACCCCAUGCAACAGAUAUACAUGUCAUGGCAUAUAACAAACAGAAUCAGCAUAUUAUGCAUUUCAGUCAAAAUUAACCCUAGGGGUAUAACGGUCAUUUUGCACCUAGGGGUAAAACAGUAAUUUUCAUACUUAAGGGUAUUUUAGUAAAAUUGACUAUUGUAGGGUUUACAUGCUUAUUACAGUUCUUAACUUAGUAACAGAAACACUUACCAAGGGUUCUUACCAAAUUGGGCCCGUUGGCCUAUUAUUCCAAUUUUGGCCCGUUAAGCCCAAAAAUAUCGAGGGCACAGAAAUCAUGCACUUUGCAGACUAAACAUAGCAGUUUACCAAAAACAUUAAUCGAUUUACCUCACGACCAUUCGCACACUCGCAAAUGUACAAAAUACUGGUUUUCGGCAUUUCGACUUUCGGCUUUUGCCGAUCUAGACUAUGAAAGGGUGUCAGUUACACACCUGUUUUAUGAUGAUUCGCUGACGAGAUCCACACACGAACUGCCUACAAUUAUAUUACUACCACGUUAAUCUAACUACCGAAACGAACUACAUAUUCACUCCUUACCAUAUUCGGCCAAUAACACCUUAGGCCUUAGCGUUCCUACCUUUGCCGAAAGUAGCGUCUCGAUCCAGAUCCGUUCGCUCCACUUGUCCAAGCCCUUGAUCAACAACCUCUUAAUCAUACUAUUACCAAAUUAAUACUGUUACCACAACCCCUUAGGGCUACAAGUCCAUAAACGACAGCCUCCCUAACUUUUAAGGAUUCCAGCUUUUCUUAAAAUACGAAAGAUAGACUAAGUUGGAAAGACUUACCAUCGAUUCUUUUAGUCAACGUCCCCUCCCUUAGUUCCUACUUGAUUCUGAUGCAGCUUUAAGCCCUUAAACGAUAACAAAAGUCGAGCCUUCAGUAAUCUCAGUAUUCGGCUAUGUCCCUAGGAUAGUGUGGGAUUUCUGACUUUUUGCAGAAGUGUAGAGAAAGAUAAAAUAUGAGGGUUUUUACUUGUGGUAUUGUCGACAUAAACCUGGGGUUUAGAGGAGGAGAGAAUCGGCCAAAGAUGAUGAGAAAAAUAAAAGAUUCGGCUAGUUGGAAAAGAAAAUCAAAGGAAUAAAUAAAUUAAGAAUAAGGGAGAAGAUUUUGUGAAAAGUGAAUGAGCAAAAUAAAAAUCAAUUGAAAAUAAAAAGAAACAGAUUCGACUAAUUGGCUAAGAAUAUAUAAUCCCAAUUUAAAUCUCGUGCCUAUCUCCUUCUUUAUAGCCAACAACAUAUUUUGAAAUUAAUUCAAACUCUCCUUGCGCAAACAACAGCAAGAGUCCUCCGCUUGGCUGACUCACCUUGCACCUUGCUGCUGGGGGGAGUUUCAAUCCCGUACGGCCCUUUUCCUGCACGCAACGCUGCUCGAACACGGGACCUUCAGAGUACCCAACACACUGCUGACCACUGGGACGGGCCUCCUUCUUUGAUAUAAUAGCGUCGCGUUUACGUUUAAACCUUACCUGCUGACAUCCUGAGUUCUUUUAAAAAUAAAACAGAACAUACAUGCACCUGGAGUGUAGAGAAAGAUAAAAUAUGAGGGUUUUUACUUGUGGUAUUGUCGACAUAAACCUGGGGUUUAGAGGAGGAGAGAAUCGGCCAAAGAUGAUGAGAAAAAUAAAAGAUUCGGCUAGUUGGAAAAGAAAAUCAAAGGAAUAAAUAAAUUAAGAAUAAGGGAGAAGAUUUUGUGAAAAGUGAAUGAGCAAAAUAAAAAUAAAUUGAAAAUAAAAAGAAACAGAUUCGACUAAUUGGCUAAGAAUAUAUAAUCCCAAUUUAAAUCUCGUGCCUAUCUCCUUCUUUAUAGCCAACAACAUAUUUUGAAAUUAAUUCAAACUCUCCUUGCGCAAACAACAGCAAGAGUCCUCCGCUUGGCUGACUCACCUUGCACCUGGUGCAUGUAUGUUCUGUUUUAUUUUUAAAAGAACUCAGGAUGUCAGCAGGUAAGGUUUAAACGUAAACGCGACGCUAUUAUAUCAAAGAAGGAGGCCCGUCCCAGUGGUCAGCAGUGUGUUGGGUACUCUGAAGGUCCCGUGUUCGAG